rnacentral:ncRNA from 1 species
UGCCUCCGGCGACAUGGUGGGAUCUUUACGCCAAUCGGAGGCAAGCAGAGGAAGCCGGUGCGAAUCCGGCGCGGUCCCGCCACUGUCACCGGGGAGUACCUGCGAACAACGGCCACGGCGGCUUCACGCUGCUGGAAGGCCCGCCGGUGCGUCGAUCCGGAAGCCAGGAGACUCUCGCCUUCGGAUCGUCGAU